rnacentral:rRNA from 1 species
GAUGAACGCUGGCGGCGUGCUUAACACAUGCAAGUCGAACGAAGCGUAUUCAAGUGAAGUUUUCGGAUGAAGCGAGGAUAUGACUUAGUGGCGGACGGGUGAGUAACGCGUGGGCAACCUGCCUUUCACAGCGGGAUAACAGAGGGAAGCUUCUGCUAAUACCGCAUAUACCUUUAUAACGCAUGUUAGGGAGGGGAAAGUAAUUAUCGGUGAGAGAUGGGCCCGCGCCCGAUUAGAUAGUUGGUGGGGUAACAGCCUACCAAGUCAACGAUCGGUAGCCGGCUUGAGAGAGUGUACGGCCACAUUGGGACUGAGACACGGCCCAAACUCCUACGGGAGGCAGCAGUGGGGGAUAUUGGACAAUGGGGGCAACCCUGAUCCAGCGAUGCCGCGUGAGUGAAGAAGUAUUUCGGUACGUAAAGCUCUAUCAGCAGGGAAGAAAGAAGACGGUACCUGACUAAGAAGCCCCGGCUAACUACGUGCCAGCAGCCGCGGUAAUACGUAGGGGGCAAGCGUUAUCCGGAAUUGAGCUGGGUGUGAAGGGAGCGUAGACGGUUAAACAAGUCUGAAGUGAAAUGCCGGGGCUCAACCCCGGAGCUGCUUCUGGGAACUGUAGAACUGGAGUGUCGGAGGGGUAAGCGGAAUUACCCAGUGUAGCGGUGAAAUGCGUAGAUAUUGGGAGGAACACCGGCGGCGAAGGCGGCUUACUGGACGACAACGUGACGUUGAGGCUCGAAGGCGUGGGUAGCAAACAGGAUUAGAUACCCUGGUAGUCCACGCAGUAAACGAUGAAUACUAGGUGUCGGGUGGCAAAGCCAUGCGGUGCCGGCGCAAACGCAAUAAGUAUUCCACCUGGGGAGUACGUACGCAAGAAUGACACUCAAAGGAAUUGGACGGGGACCCGCACUAGCGGUGGAGCAUGUGGUUUAAUGCGAAGCAACGCGAGGAACGUACCAAGCCUGGACAUGCGAUGACGUAAUAGUACAGAUUUAGUCGCCGACUGCGGCAUCGGUACACAUGG